CAGCCACAUCGCGUUGAAACACAGGUUCUCGUAUGAUCACCGAAGUUAAGAAACGUCACACUUGGUCAGGUACUUAUUUCGGUGACCUCUUGGAAAUACCAGAUGCUGUAA